rnacentral:misc_RNA from 1 species
CUGAUUAUGAUGUGUCUGCAAUAGCACGGUAGCAACCCUGCAAACAAGCUCAACCUUAUCAGGAUUUGAGGCCCAAUCCUUCAAGUAUGAGAGCAGCUUCAGAGCAUCCGAGAAUGGUAAAGCCAGUAAUGUCUGCUCCAGAUCAUUGGUGUGAACAUUUGAAAUUGCACGAAGAACAUAAUCAGAUGCUGCAAGCCCAUGCAAAAUAGGGUUUGGUUGGAACUCAGUAACUCUUCCCCUGGUUUUCUCCUCCUCAUGCUCAGCAAUGCGCUUCAGUUCCACCUCUGCUGCAUCUAAUGCAUCAAUAAUCAAGUCAGUUGCUGUAAGGGUUUCUUGAGUUCUCUUUCCUGCCAAGGCCACAGCUCCCUCCUCUGGGAGUUCGUCCUUGGAUGCAUAUCUGUUUUCAAAUGCAUUGUCAAGGUCAGCCUCAAACAUUUCUUCCAAUCUUUUUUCCUUCUCUUCUUCAAUGAAAAAUGGUUCUUCCGUCCGAUCCCAGCGACGUAUGGAUCGGUCAUGAGACCCUGUGACAACAAAAUCACCACGGUUNNACGGUUGCUGAUUGCAAGACACCAAACAUCUGCAUGAUGUCCCUCAAGAGUUAAAAGCAGUUCAAACUUAUCAGCAUCCCAGUAUUUUACAAGGCGAUCUUUC